AUAGAGGAGAAGGAGUUGAACCAACAUCAAAAAACUCAAAAUUUUAUGCAUUUCUUUUAUGCUACCCACUA
rnacentral:tRNA from 1 species